rnacentral:lncRNA from 1 species
UUUCUGGUUAUAAUCAAUUUGUAAAAAAAAUAUCUCAUAUAAGAACGAACGGUUAUGAUCGAUUAAUCUGUUAAAAAACAUUCAAAUCUAUUAAUAAAUUCAAUUCUACGAACAAUUAUGAUCACGAUCAAUCUGUUAAAAAAAAACAUUCAAAUCUAUCGAGAAAAUCAAUUUUACGAAUAGUUAAGAUCAAUUUAUUAAAAAUAUUUCAAAUAAAAAAAACAAUUAUAAUCAAUUUGUUAAAAAAUAGUACUUCGAUUCAUCUAUUUUACAAUACAAUUUAAAUUUGAGUUUAAAUUUUGAUUUAGAUUUUAUUUUUAAUUUUUGGUAUCCAACUUUUUAUGCAAUUUAAUUUUCAAAUUUUUAAAAAUUUGGGCUAAUAGUUUUGUUUAAUUAGGAUAGCAAGGAAUUUUUUGGUCCAUUUGCCAGCUUAUUGGACAUCAAUCUAUGGAUAAGAGUUGGAUGAAUGAACCCAGGUUUGAUU